rnacentral:rRNA from 1 species
UACGGGGGGCGCAAGCGUUGUUCGGAUUUACUGGGCGUAAAGGGCGCGUAGGCGGCCACCGCAAGUCAAUUGUGAAAUCUCCGGGCUUAACUCGGAAAGGUCAACUGAUACUGCGGGGCUAGAGUGCGGAAGGGGCAACUGGAAUUCUCGGUGUAGCGGUGAAAUGCGUAGAUAUCGAGAGGAACACCUGCGGCGAAGGCGGGUUGCUGGGCCGACACUGACGCUGAGGCGCGAAAGCCAGGGGAGCGAACGGG